CUUUUCCAGAAUUAUUUAUUUUGUGUCUAUGAGUACACUGUAACUAUCUUCAGACACACCAGAAGAAGGCCUCAUCCCAUUACCGAUGGUUGGGAGCCACCAUGUGCUUGCUGGGGAUUGAAAACUCAGGACCUCUGGAGGAGCGGCCAGGGCUCUUAACCGCUGAGACAUCUCUCCAGCCCUCUUUUUCCAGUUUUAAAUAAGCCUCGUUAGUUGAGCGAUCUGCACGGUGACCAGACUGCCUUGGGGUAAUCAGAAAGGAGGCCAGAAGCAGUUUUUUUUCUGACGCACUGAGACUACAUACCAGCAGAU
rnacentral:lncRNA from 1 species